UCUCGGUUCUUGUGAAUCAACGAUCUUACCGUUCACGAAAAAGUUCGAUGGAGCAGUAACAGCCGGCUGGAAGGUAGAAAUAUUUGCAACGCCCACGCCUUUCGAUGUUCCCAGAAUGACGAUUGAGUUACGAUAUCUGGA